rnacentral:tRNA from 1 species
UGGGGUGUAGUUGAGUGAUAGAGCGCUUGCCUACCAUACACAAGAUCCUGGGUUCAAUACCCAGAACCCCAA